GACGAACGCUGGCGGCGUGCUUAACACAUGCAAGUCGAACGGAAAGGCCUGCUUUCCCUUGUGGAUUGCGGGUACUCGAGUGGCGAACGGGUGAGUAACACGUGAGUGAUCUGCCCCCAACUUGGGUAUAAGCCUGGGAAACUGGGUCUAAUUCCCGAUAGGACUGCAGGGUGGUGCCUGUGGUGGAAAACGAUUUUCUAGUGGUUGGGGAUGAGCUCGCGGCCUAUCAGCUUGUUGGUGGGGUAUUGGCCUACCAAGGCGGCGACGGGUAGCCGGCCGGAGAGGGUGGACGGCCACAUUAGGACUGAGAUACGGCCCAGACUCCUACGGGAGGCAGCAGUGGGGAAUCUUGCACAAUGGGCGGAAGCCUGAUGCAGCGACGCCGCGUGGAGGAUGACGGCCUUCGGGUUGUAAACUCCUUGCGACCGCGAGGAAGCCACCUGGUUGGAAGGGUGGUGACGGUAGUGGUAGAAGAAGCACCGGCUAACUACGUG
rnacentral:rRNA from 1 species